UUGAGGAGAACUGAGACUAGAUGAUUAUGGAAAUCUCACCAUCAAUAACAUCAGAACCAUUCACACUGGACUCUAUAAACUCAAGAUCAGCGGCAGAAGAAGAAGAACCAAAUACAAGCUAUUCAUUCUGACAGUUGGUGUGAGGACGGAAAAAGUGGAGGAGGGAAAAUCUGUCACUCUACACAAUGAUGCUGAAAUACAGACCGGUGAUCUAAUACUGUGGACGUUUGGAGCUGAAAACAGUCUUGUUGCUAGAAAGGAUUCAAGAACAGAUGAUAUUGAUGAGAGUUUGAGUGACAGACUGGAGCUGAAUAAUGAGACUGGAUCUCUGACCAUCAGGAACAUCAGAACCACAGACUCUGGACAUUUUAAACUCCAGAUCAUCAACAGCAAAACGACCACAUUCAGGAGAUUCAAUGUGGAUGUCACCGAAAAACAAGAGAAAGGGGAAAAGGAGCAGCAGGAGACAAAUUCAGUUUAAUGAGACGGGAGACGCCCAGCAGUGUGAAUCAUGGUGAACAUCUGAGCCGAUCAUUUCUGUCCUCUAGUGGACAAAAACUGAUCUAAGAAUCAAAUCAGAGAUCUUAAUGUGUACAAAGAGCAUGCUAGCAAGGAAUUAUAUGUAUAAUGUUUAUAUAGUGUUCAAGAAUUGAAGGUAGAACCUCUGAGUCCUAAAUGUUUAGCUUAUGAAUGGUCAAAGGAGAUUGAAAUUUUCUAUUUCAACAAUGACUUCUAAUAAUAUUCUUAACCUACUUAUAACCAUUUAGCAUGAAAUGUUGUUUCAGUGUUGUUUCAAACAGUAAUCAGUGGAAGAGUGCUGUUUUGCAAGUACUAGAAAUGUGGCUUUCAAAUGACUAUUGUAGAUGGCUAUUAUACAUUAAAUUUGGUCUAAUUGUUGUUUUUUUAUUUUUUGGCCUGAAUUAAGUAAAUGACUAGACAUCAAGCUUUUGAUAUCAUCUUUAGUACAGCAGUUUGGAGAACUGGUAUGUUAAUUUGCCAAUUACCAUCAACAUAGCAGUGAAAGCUCACUCCAUGUGUCCUGCUAAUGUCUCCCAGUGGAAUUGUUCAUUACAUUAUUUGGUACAUUACUGUGAAAUUGGAUUUCACUUAUCUCGUAAGGCGACAGUCUGUUGCUAGACAAAUUCCAUGUGCACUGGUACAUAAUAGGCCAGAAGAUCUGUACACGUAGAAGACAUGUAGAAUAGUCCGUUCUGAUCACCUGAGCAAUUCAAAGCAUGUUUGUGAUAAUGAUUACGAACGUUUGCUUGCUUCUUAAUCAAUGCAUGCAUUCAAAUGUUUUCAUAUACAACGUUACUCUUUUAAUUUCAGAUGAAAUCAAACUAAUUAAAGAAAUUCGCCUUUUUUUACAGUGACUGUUUUGAUAUGUCCUUUGUUUAUCGACACUGUAGAUAAAGUUUAAAUUUACACAAGUAAACAUAUACAUAAGUUAAAUGAACUUGACAAUUCUGAGUUACACUGACAAAUAAAAAUCAUUGAAACAAAAGUAAACGUGUUGUGGACUAACUAUUUAUUCAAUUGC